GACGAACGCUGGCGGCGUGCUUAACACAUGCAAGUCGAACGGAAAGGCCCUGCUUUUGUGGGGUGCUCGAGUGGCGAACGGGUGAGUAACACGUGAGUAACCUGCCCUUGACUUUGGGAUAACUUCAGGAAACUGGGGCUAAUACCGGGUAGGAGCUCCUGCUGCAUGGUGGGGGUUGGAAAGAUUCGGCGGUUGGGGAUGGACUCGCGGCUUAUCAGCUUGUUGGUGGGGUAGUGGCUUACCAAGGCUUUGACGGGUAGCCGGCCUGAGAGGGUGACCGGCCACAUUGGGACUGAGAUACGGCCCAGACUCCUACGGGAGGCAGCAGUGGGGAAUAUUGCACAAUGGGCGGAAGCCUGAUGCAGCAACGCCGCGUGCGGGAUGACGGCCUUCGGGUUGUAAACCGCUUUCGCCUGUGACGAAGCGUGAGUGACGGUAAUGGGUAAAGAAGCACCGGCUAACUACGUG
rnacentral:rRNA from 1 species